GCGCAGCAGUCGAGAAACCUCCGCAAUACACGAAAAGUGUGGCGGGGCCAUCCCGAGUGCCGUCCGCUGAGGACGGCUUUUCCCCAGUGUACACAGCUGGGGGAAUAAGGAGAGGGCAAGCCUGGUGUCAGCCGCCGCGGUAAUACCAGCUCUCCGAGUGGUGGGGACGCUUAUUGGGCCUAAAGCAUCCGUAGCCGGCUGGGCAAGUCCUCCGUUAAAUCCAACGAUUCAAUCGUUGGGCUGCGGGGGAUACUGUCCAGCUUGGGGGCGGGAGAGGCCGACGGUAUUCCCGGGGUAGGGGUGAAAUCCUAUAAUCCCGGGGAGGACCACCAGUGGCGAAGGCUGUCGGCUAGAACGCGCCCGACGGUGAGGGAUGAAAGCUGGGGGAGCGAACCGGAUUAGAUACCCCUGUAGU
rnacentral:rRNA from 1 species